UACGAAGGGGGCUAGCGUUGCUCGGAAUCACUGGGCGUAAAGCGCACGUAGGCGGAUGCCUAAGUCGGGGGUGAAAUCCUGGAGCUCAACUCCAGAACUGCCUUCGAUACUGGGAAUCUUGAGUCCGGAAGAGGUGAGUGGAACUGCGAGUGUAGAGGUGAAAUUCGUAGAUAUUCGCAAGAACACCAGUGGCGAAGGCGGCUCACUGGUCCGGUACUGACGCUGAGGUGCGAAAGCGUGGGGAGCAAACAGG
rnacentral:rRNA from 1 species